AAAAAGACAAACUCUGUUUCCGUGUCCAAUGUUUGACAGUCCAUCUUAUUUGAAAAAAUUAUGAAAAAAAUUAAAAAGAUAAGUCACACAUAAAGUAUUCAUCAUGUCUUAUCAUCUAAAAACAAUGAAAAUACUAAUUAUAAAAAAAUUUCAUAUAAGACGGACAGUCAAACGUUAGCACGUAAACCCAUGAUUUGUCUUUUU
rfam:Oryza nivara chromosome 7, whole genome shotgun sequence.